GGGCUGAGAGAAGAGGGCCUGGAACCAGUCUGUUGAGUGUAACGAGGGACAAUGCUAAGUGUGUUAUGAUCUCAUUAAAAGUACAUAGAAACUUGAGAUAUGCAGUAAUUCACUAACAAACCGAGUGUUACAAGACAUGCUAAGACCUUGUGUCAUAAAUACUUGUGCAUUUACUUGAUCUCCCCGCUUUAGGGCCAGGACUGAGUUUUGUACUCGUUGUAUCAGGGCAUCUUGCCCCAGACCUGUCACCCACUAGAAUUUGUUGUUAAACAAAUGAGGCUUCCUUCCUUAUGUGGCCCCCCACCCCUCUUCUAAAGAGGACAAUUAAAGUACGAGAGAACGGAUGAGAUUAGAACGCUGGUGGGACUGAGAUGGGAAAGGACCUUAAAGGUUAUUCGUCCAAAGAAGAAAACCAGCCUUUUCCCGGCAGACGGAAACUGACGCGCUCCCCCUGGAGGCAGCGCAGGAUGCUCCCGGGAGUCCAGGCGUCCCAGCUUGGGGUCCCCAUCCUCGUGUGCAGUCAGGGCACUGGUGGGAACCCUGGGCUCCAGGCGGCCCUCGCGCUUGGCGCUGGUACAAGUCGGGGUAACCUUACGGCUUGUGCAUCCAGAGAAGCGAGGUCCCUGGUGGAGACUAGCUUGGGAUAGGUUGGGGAGACGCCCUCCGUUCUUCUAGAUGGCUGGGGUCUCAACAGCAAGCAGUGGGGAAUAAGACUUACUGAACAAACCCUGAGACUGUUAAAGGAGUGCAUACUAUCAAAGGGACAGGCAUCCCCUGUGAACCUACUGAUGAAUUUUUCCUAAUGCUUAAUUUAGCUUGUGGACAGAAAUGCUGGGGCGAGACACGGCCAAGUCCGUCCUGUUCCUCCAGGGAAAUCCCCUCUCCGCCCUCCCUCUCCAUCUCCAUCUCCUCUUGCCCACCUCCUCCUCCUCCCCUUCUCCCCCAUCCCACCGCGCCCACCCCGCGUCAUCGCCCCCUUUCCCCUCCCACCUCCCGGCCGUGGUGCGGCGCUGCUCUCUCCUCCUCCGCAGUCUCGGCGGGAGCUCCGGGUGCUGUGGCCCGGCCUUGGCUGGGCGGCCUUCGGCUCAGGCUGGCUGAGAGGCUCCCAGCUGCAGCGUCCCCGCCCGCCUCCUCGGGAGCUCUGAUCUCAGCUGACAGUGCCCUCGGGGACCAAACAAGCCUCGCAGCUGAGUAA
ensembl:lncRNA